rnacentral:rRNA from 1 species
AUUGAACGCUGGCGGCAUGCCUUACACAUGCAAGUCGAACGGCAGCAUAGGAGCUUGCUCCUGAUGGCGAGUGGCGAACGGGCGAGUAAUAUAUCGGAACGUGCCCUAGAGUGGGGGAUAACUAGUCGAAAGACUAGCUAAUACCGCAUACGAUCUACGGAUGAAAGUGGGGGAUCGCAAGACCUCAUGCUCCUGGAGCGGCCGAUAUCUGAUUAGCUAGUUGGUGGGGUAAAAGCCUACCAAGGCAACGAUCAGUGGCUGGUCUGAGAGGACGACCAGCCACACUGGGACUGAGACACGGCCCAGACUCCUACGGGAGGCAGCAGUGGGGAAUUUUGGACAAUGGGGGCAACCCUGAUCCAGCAAUGCCGCGUGAGUGAAGAAGGCCUUCGGGUUGUAAAGCUCUUUUGUCAGGGAAGAAACGGUAGUAGCGAAUAACUAUUACUAAUGACGGUACCUGAAGAAUAAGCACCGGCUAACUACGUGCCAGCCGCCGCAGUAAUAC